GUAAACAACAAAAAUGUCAGCGUAUAUUCAGAUAAAGCCAAAAAUACUCUAGAGUAGUCCCAUGAUCCCAGUAAUACAAAAUAGGUCAAGCUCUUUCAAAUACAGUAAGUUAUAUAUUUGACUUAUUUUGUAUUUUGCUCAUCAAAUUGUCUGCAUCAUUUCAUUCUCAAUCUGUGUCUUUAAUGAAGUUUGCGUGGGACAUGUAAGAGUGUAAAAUGACUUUCCAUUCUCAGAGUAACUGUGGGGCUAUAAUAAUGAGAAUGCCUGCACCCCCUAUAUUGUGUUUUUUUUUUUUUAUAGCUUCUGUUUUUAUUAUUUACACAGGCAUUACUCGGUUUUGUAACACUAUUAGUUUAGAU